AAUUUCCUCUCAUCCAACGGCUGCUGCUGACAGCCACAAUGAUGCCGGUUAAGAAAUGAUCGGAAAUAAAACAUCCAUUGGAGACUGUGUAUUUAAAAAUGAAGUGGGAGUUCUGCGCGGGCUCAUCAUUCAAACUAUAACGGUCAUCUAGCACUGGACGCUGAGGAAAAGGGAUAAGCAUUUCAACAGAGCCACAUCACCAAAUGGCAUUACACACUGUCCUUCCUGUGUGUUUGGCUUUUUCAGAACCUGCACGGACAAGUCUGAUGAGUGGAGAUGUUGCUGUGGCCCUCUUUACAGACGAUACAAAUUUCAUUACCAACCUGUGAAAAUCUCAUGUCAUUAUGGAAAUGUGACUCAAGUUGUUAUAGCUCUAAAUACAACACAGUUACAAAAGAGAUGAAUAAAUAUUGUGUUAAUUGUACUUAAUAGUGACUCUCACUACUUUGUGUACUUUCAGGUUCUAUGAACUUCAUGCCAUGGGAACUGUGAUUGAGUAACUUUUUAUUUAUUUAUUUAUGAACAAAUCUGAAAUGGCACAUUCCCAGUUAUUAUAGAGAUAGUUCACUCAAAAUGAAAAUUCUGUAAUUAAUUACUCACCCUCAUGUCGUUCAAAACCCAUAAGAUCUUCAUUCAUCUUUGGAACACAAAAUAAGAUAUUUUUGAUGAAAUCCGAGAGCUUUCUGACCCUGCAUAGACAGCAAUGCAACUGAAAUGUUUAAAAAUAUCUAAAUUUGUGUUCCGAAGAAGAACGAAGAUCUUACUAAGAUCUAUUUGGAACAACAUG